rnacentral:rRNA from 1 species
AGUGAACGCUGGCGGUAGGCCUAACACAUGCAAGUCGAACGGCAGCACAGUAAGAGCUUGCUCUUACGGGUGGCGAGUGGCGGACGGGUGAGGAAUACAUCGGAAUCUACUUUUUCGUGGGGGAUAACGUAGGGAAACUUACGCUAAUACCGCAUACGACCUACGGGUGAAAGCAGGGGAUCUUCGGACCUUGCGCGAUUGAAUGAGCCGAUGUCGGAUUAGCUAGUUGGCGGGGUAAAGGCCCACCAAGGCGACGAUCCGUAGCUGGUCUGAGAGGAGGAUCAGCCACACUGGAACUGAGACACGGUCCAGACUCCUACGGGAGGCAGCAGUGGGGAAUAUUGGACAAUGGGCGCAAGCCUGAUCCAGCCAUACCGCGUGGGUGAAGAAGGCCUUCGGGUUGUAAAGCCCUUUUGUGGGGAAAGAAAAGCAGCAGGUUAAUACCCCGCUGUUCUGACGGUACCCAAAGAAUAAGCACCGGCUAACUUCGUG